rnacentral:rRNA from 1 species
CGUAGGUGGCGAGCGUUAUCCGGAAUUAUUGGGCGUAAAGAGCGCGCAGGUGGUUGAUUAAGUCUGAUGUGAAAGCCCACGGCUUAACCGUGGAGGGUCAUUGGAAACUGGUCGACUUGAGUGCAAAAGAGGGAAGUGGAAUUCCAUGUGUAGCGGUGAAAUGCGUAGAGAUAUGGAGGAACACCAGUGGCGAAGGCGGCUUCCUGGUCUGUAACUGACACUGAGGCGCGAAAGCGUGGGGAGCAAACAGGAUUAGAUACCCU